GAUGAACGCUGGCGGCGUGCCUAAUACAUGCAAGUCGAGCGAACGGACGAGAAGCUUGCUUCUCUGAUGUUAGCGGCGGACGGGUGAGUAACACGUGGAUAACCUACCUAUAAGACUGGGAUAACUUCGGGAAACCGGAGCUAAUACCGGAUAAUAUUUUGAACCGCAUGGUUCAAAAGUAAAAGACGGUCUUGCUGUCACUUAUAGAUGGAUCCGCGCUGCAUUAGCUAGUUGGUAAGGUAAAGGCUUACCAAGGCAACGUUGCAUAGCGGACCUGAGAGGGGGAUCGGCAAAACUGGAACUAGGACACGGUCCAGACUCUUACGGGAGGCAGCAGUAGGGAAUCUUCCGCAAGGGGCGAAAGCCUGACGGAGCAACGCGGCGGGAGUGAUGAAGGUCUUCGGAUCGUAAAACUCUGUUAUCAGGGAAGAACAGAUGUGUAAGUAACUGGGCACAUCUUGACGGUACCUAAUCAGAAAGCCACGGCUAACUACGU
rnacentral:rRNA from 1 species